rnacentral:lncRNA from 1 species
UCGAGUAGUGCUAGCCAGUCCACUGUGAUGAUGUGUAUGUGCUAAUCCGAAAUCGCUUAACCUGGCAUUCAUAUACUUGUCGAGUAAGACAUUGCUUGCUUUAAUGUCCCUAUGCAAGACAUUAGCUUCCCAACCCUCAUGCAAAUACCAGAUUGCAGAAGCUACAUCUUUCAAGACUUUAACCCUCUCAUCCCAACUCAACAUUGAGGCCUCAUGACAGUCGAAAAUUCUCUUAUCGACGCUCCCAUUCUCCAUGUAAUCGUAGACCAAAAUCAAGCUCCCUUUAUCGUUCCUAGACCAACCUCUC